GGAGCCUUCUCUUCUCCAGGCUGAACAAAUUCCCCCCAACUCUCUCAGCCUGUCCUCACAGGGGAGAAAGACUUUUGUCCAGACUGAAUGAAAAAAUAGCAUCCUGCUGCCCCAAGAGGAAAUCAGUUCUCUUUUAAAAGAUAUUUCUUCUUGGCGGUUCUCACUGAGUAUAUUCAAUCGGGGCGUUUUGGUUCCUUUGGCACUGCUCCACCACCUAAAUUGUCGUUAAUGAAAUCAAACAUUCCUCACGUCCAAUUUUUCAAGGUGUAAUUUCAAACUGUAUUGGCUUUGCCUUUGUACCUGGUUCAGCCGCGUCCCUAAGACUUCCUUUUUCCUUCUUUUUCUCUUUUGACAGAGGAAUGCCACUGCUCUGAUUUAUAUCCUUCUCCCAGGGGGAGCUGAAGCUUCAGCCUACUCAUGCUCUGCACCGGCACUCUGAAAACACGCAGGAAUUAGCAGGGAGGCCAGAAAGUUUUGCACAGUCUCUCUUCCUUGAGAGCCAGAGCAGACGAAGGGGAAUAACCACGAGUGAUGGAGAAGGCAAACCUAUUCGCCAGGUGUCUCAUUUUCAUUUCAAGCAAUUUGGCCUCCGAUACCCUUGGAUGGGAGGCAGGAUGCAGCUUAUGAGGUGCCGAGGGCGAGGCAGGCACUUUCCCGCUAUCUAAAAUACCUUCUCCUGCAGGGGAGAGUGACCCAGAUACGCCAGCACGCUUUGCUUUACUCUCAGGCUAGCAGCGCUUGCAGGACCUAAAUGUUGCUUCCAACCCCAAGCCCGACUUGGGCAAGGAGCCAGCAGUGAUUCUCAGCCUAACUGGGAGGUGUGGUGUGUGUAUAGAGAGAUUUAAAUCUAUAUAUAGCUCUGAAUGCCAAGAUCAGGGAUGUGUUCAUCAGAGACGCGCUCACGAGCUCUCCUGACCGCCCCAAGGCCCCUUUCUCUGCCCCAGCCAGAACCUUCACCCAUCCACCGCCUACAGCCCCACCUUGGUUAGAGCUGGGGAAACCACUGGCACCCCCGUUCCCUGGACUUCCUGGAGGGAUGAGAUGACUCGGAGAACAAACCACUUUUCAAGAGUUGUUUCUCUUUCGGGAAGAAGCAGGAGGGAGGACAGAGAGUGGUUCUUCAUCAUGGGGUUGACCCUUCCCAAGGAGCAGUGCAUGUGAGAAGACACACAGGAGCCCAGGAAGAAACCCUUCAGGUCCCAGAGCUUGAGAAGAAGCAUCUGAGGAAGAGUCUACUAAAACAACCCAGACCAAAGUGCCUUUCCCCACUGGAGCAUCGUAUCCUGCUAUGGUGGAGCAGGUGGGAGCAGGCAAUAUCCUUCAGGUGCACAACAUAACAACAAGUACGAGGAGCUGCUUCUUAAGCGGAAGCUGCCGCCAGCUCCUCCGGGAGGGCCUGGAUCUACUUUUCUGUCAGGCAGGCGAUAAGCACAGCGUUGUCACUCUCACCACUUCUCUGGAGAAGUGAUAUAACUUAUUGCCCAGAGCUCUCCGUCCUGGUAUCACGGGGAGAGGAGGAAUGUGCUCACCACCUUGCUGGGUCUCACCUGAAGGAUGGGCGGCUGAGUUCUGCCAAGGCGGACCACCCUCCACCUGGUAUUUGACACCAAGAGCUGUCUGGGUGGCUUGGAAUUCUUGGGGCUGGUGAGGUGAGGAGAAGCAUCUAACCUGGUAAAAGCGACUCUUAGCAGAUGAAAACGGAUCAAGAAGAUGACUUCACAUAAAGAAGGACUUUUUUUUGAGCUCCCUGCCCUAGGACAGCACUGAAAUAUCUUGCCUAGAAGCUCUCAGAGAAGGAUGAGAUGUCUCCAGGAGCUGUGUUUUUCGGCACAAGUCCAGGUCCCAGCACUGUUUGCAAUGGAACAGGAGGGAAACUCUACGGCUAAACAGGUUUAAAGCAUGUGAGGCACUGAGACUCCCUACAAGAAGGCCACACCUGAAUGACUUUAUGCAAAAUUCUUCAUUCCACUUGAACAGACCUGCACCAGCCCAUCGCUCCAGAAACCAACGUGCAGGAGGAGGUGAAACAGUUGGGAUACAGGACAGGAUGAGCCCUUUGCCCCAUGGAGCUACGAGAAAACUCACUCAACAGCAACAUCUUCCCUCCAACUGUGGCAGUUUGCUCUCUCUCUCCAGUCCUGAAACUCCAGGAGGGAGGAUCAUUCAAACCCUGGAGUUUCUGGCCUUACACGGUACCACCCUUAAUACAGGUAUUUUACCCGAGACGGCCUUCAAAGUGAACAGGGGGGCGUUUGAUUGAAAAAUAGGCUUUCUUCCUUGCUCUGCGCAACUGCCCUUGGGUUUCAUCCUCUGAACCCUAGGCAGGAGGAGGACAUCACUGUGUUGGGGUUUCUUGAGCUGGGACAAGGUGGGGAAACGAUUUCAUUGUCAAAGCAAGCACAAGCUCGUCAGCUGGAAGAGCUCCAGCAUGGGCUUCAGUGUGUUAGCAGGGCUGCACGGAUUAGAUUUUGCUUUUGGCAUUGGCUUGUUGGCUUUUGUCUUUUGGGUGGCAUCACUUGCAGAGGAAGGAAGCAGGAGGUGAACUGCAGGGAGGCCAAGAUGGAGCGAGAUGUCCUUUCAGCUGCAAAUCCUGUGGCCGGUGGUACCACGUCCCCAGCAAUUCGGCACCGAGAUGCUGAAGGCACCAUAGGGGAGUCUUGAUCCCCUCUUGAGCCAGCUGCAGGGCAGGAGGUUGAGCACCAACUGAGCAUCAGUGUGGAACUGAAGUGGAUUGGUUUGAGUUUGGGCGUCUG